rnacentral:rRNA from 1 species
CCUACGGGAGGCAGCAGUGAGGAAUAUUGGUCAAUGGACGAGAGUCUGAACCAGCCAAGUAGCGUGAAGGAUGACUGCCCUAUGGGUUGUAAACUUCUUUUAUAUGGGAAUAAAAUGUUCCACGUGUGGGUUUUUGUAUGUACCAUAUGAAUAAGGAUCGGCUAACUCCGUGCCAGCAGCCGCGGUAAUACAGAGGAUCCGAGCGUUAUCCGGAUUUAUUGUGUUUAAAGGGAGCGUAGGUGGAUUGUUAAGUCAGUUGUGAAAGUUUGCGGCUCAACCGUAAAAUUGCAGUUGAAACUGGCAGUCUUGAGUACAGUAGAGGUGGGCGGAAUUCGUGGUGUAGCGGUGAAAUGCUUAGAUAUCACGAAGAACUCCGAUUGCGAAGGCAGCUCACUGGACUGCAACUGACACUGAGGCUCGAAAGUGUGGGUAUCAAACAGGAUUAGAUACCCCUGUAGUC